rnacentral:ncRNA from 1 species
AAGUAGUCGAGGACAAAGAGAGUAAUUUAUCUUAACCUACUAGCGAGAUAAGGACAGGUGGAAGCUUAUCAGGUGGGGUAAAUGAAGCGCACUUUGGAGACAGAUUGGUGAACGAAGAUAAGUAGCCAAUUUCGCAAGCUGAGCGUUAUCGCAGAUCGAGGGAAUAGGCCAUUGCGUCUAUUAAUCAGAGUGGUACCGCGGGAAAGCCCGUCUCUAUU